GUCGAGCGGCGGACGGGUGAGUAAUGCCUAGGAAAUUGCCCUGAUGUGGGGGAUAACCAUUGGAAACGAUGGCUAAUACCGCAUGAUGCCUACGGGCCAAAGAGGGGGACCUUCGGGCCUCUCGCGUCAGGAUAUGCCUAGGUGGGAUUAGCUAGUUGGUGAGGUAAUGGCUCACCAAGGCGACGAUCCCUAGCUGGUCUGAGAGGAUGAUCAGCCACACUGGAACUGAGACACGGUCCAGACUCCUACGGGAGGCAGCAGUGGGGAAUAUUGCACAAUGGGCGCAAGCCUGAUGCAGCCAUGCCGCGUGUGUGAAGAAGGCCUUCGGGUUGUAAAGCACUUUCAGUCGUGAGGAAGGUGGURKWGUUAAUAGCWCUAUCAUUUGACGUUAGCGACAGAAGAAGCACCGGCUAACUCCGUGCCAGCAGCCGCGGUAAUACGGAGGGUGCGAGCGUUAAUCGGAAUUACUGGGCGUAAAGCGCAUGCAGGUGGUUUGUUAAGUCAGAUGUGAAAGCCCGGGGCUCAACCUCGGAAUAGCAUUUGAAACUGGCAGACUAGAGUACUGUAGAGGGGGGUAGAAUUUCAGGUGUAGCGGUGAAAUGCGUAGAGAUCUGAAGGAAUACCGGUGGCGAAGGCGGCCCCCUGGACAGAUACUGACACUCAGAUGCGAAAGCGUGGGGAGCAAACAGGAUUAGAUACCCUGGUAGUCCACGCCGUAAACGAUGUCUACUUGGAGGUUGUGGCCUUGAGCCGUGGCUUUCGGAGCUAACGCGUUAAGUAGACCGCCUGGGGAGUACGGUCGCAAGAUUAAAACUCAAAUGAAUUGACGGGGGCCCGCACAAGCGGUGGAGCAUGUGGUUUAAUUCGAUGCAACGCGAAGAACCUUACCUACUCUUGACAUCCAGAGAACUUUCCAGAGAUGGAUUGGUGCCUUCGGGAACUCUGAGACAGGUGCUGCAUGGCUGUCGUCAGCUCGUGUUGUGAAAUGUUGGGUUAAGUCCCGCAACGAGCGCAACCCUUAUCCUUGUUUGCCAGCGAGUAAUGUCGGGAACUCCAGGGAGACUGCCGGUGAUAAACCGGAGGAAGGUGGGGACGACGUCAAGUCAUCAUGGCCCUUACGAGUAGGGCUACACACGUGCUACAAUGGCGCAUACAGAGGGCAGCAAGCUAGCGAUAGUGAGCGAAUCCCAAAAAGUGCGUCGUAGUCCGGAUUGGAGUCUGCAACUCGACUCCAUGAAGUCGGAAUCGCUAGUAAUCGUGGAUCAGAAUGCCACGGUGAAUACGUUCCCGGGCCUUGUACACACCGCCCGUCACACCAUGGGAGUGGGCUGCAAAAGAAGUAGGUAGUUUAACCUUCGGGAGGACGCU
rnacentral:rRNA from 1 species